GAUGAACGCUGGCGGCGUGCCUAAUACAUGCAAGUCGAGCGAACAGACGAGGAGCUUGCUCCUCUGACGUUAGCGGCGGACGGGUGAGUAACACGUGGAUAACCUACCUAUAAGACUGGGAUAACUUCGGGAAACCGGAGCUAAUACCGGAUAAUAUAUUGAACCGCAUGGUUCAAUAGUGAAAGACGGUUUUGCUGUCACUUAUAGAUGGAUCCGCGCCGCAUUAGCUAGUUGGUAAGGUAACGGCUUACCAAGACAACGAUGCGUAGCCGACCUGAGAGGGUGAUCGGCCACACUGGAACUGAGACACGGUCCAGACUCCUACGGGAGGCAGCAGUAGGGAAUCUUCCGCAAUGGGCGAAAGCCUGACGGAGCAACGCCGCGUGAGUGAUGAAGGUCUUCGGAUCGUAAAACUCUGUUAUUAGGGAAGAACAAAUGUGUAAGUAACUAUGCACGUCUUGACGGUACCUAAUCAGAAAGCCACGGCUAACUACGU
rnacentral:rRNA from 1 species